GGUUAAGGCCCCUUCGGGGGCGUAUAAAGUGGCGAAAGGGCGAGUAAUGCAUUUCUGACGUGCCUCGAGGUUCGGGAUAGCCCGGGGAAACCCGGAUUAAUACCGAAUAAGCUCCCGAGUUCUGAAUGCUCGGGAGGAAAGGCUUCGGCCACCUUGAGAGCGGGAAAUGUCCUAUCAGGUUGUUGGUGGGGUAACGGCCUACCAAGCCAAAGACGGGUAGCGGGUGUGAGAGCAUGACCCGCCGCAUCGGGACUGAGACACUGCCCGGACUCCUACGGGAGGCUGCAGCGACGAAUAUUCCGCAAUGCGCGAAAGCGUGACGGAGCAAUGCCGCGUGGAGGAUGAAGCCCCUCGGGGUGUAAACUUCUGUCAGGUCCUAGAAAGUUCUGAUCAGGACCAGAGGAAGGGCCGGCUAAGUUCGUGCCAGCAGCCGCGGUAAUACGAACGGCCCGAGCGUUAAUCGGAAUCACUGGGCUUAAAGCGUGCGCAGGCGGACCAGCAAGUACCUUGUGAAAUCCCUCGGCUCAACCGAGGAACUGCUUGGUAUACUGCUGGUCUUGAGCGUGGUAGGGGCGGUCGGAACGAUAGGUGGAGCGGUGAAAUGCGUAGAUAUCUAUCGGAACGCCAAAGGUGAAGACAGGCCGCUGGGCCACUGCUGACGCUCAGGCACGAAAGCGUGGGGAGCGAACGGGAUUAGAUACCCCGGUAGUCCACGCCCUAAACGAUGUGCACUGGAUCAGGGAAGUACUGACGCUUUCCGGAUCGUAGCAAAAGCGUUAAGUGCACCGCCUGGGGAGUACG
rnacentral:rRNA from 1 species